GACGAACGCUGGCGGCGUGCUUAACACAUGCAAGUCGAACGGUAAGGCUCCAGCUUGCUGGGGUACACGAGUGGCGAACGGGUGAGUAACACGUGGGUGACCUGCCCUGCACUUCGGGAUAAGCCUGGGAAACUGGGUCUAAUACCGGAUAGGACCGCACCGUGAGGGUGUGGGGGAAAGUUUUUUCGGUGUGGGAUGGGCCCGCGGCCUAUCAGCUUGUUGGUGGGGUAAUGGCCUACCAAGGCGGCGACGGGUAGCCGGCCUGAGAGGGUGGACGGCCACAUUGGGACUGAGACACGGCCCAGACUCCUACGGGAGGCAGCAGUGGGGAAUAUUGCACAAUGGGCGGAAGCCUGAUGCAGCGACGCCGCGUGGGGGAUGACGGCCUUCGGGUUGUAAACUCCUUUCACCAUCGACGAAGGGUUUCUGACGGUAGAUGGAGAAGAAGCACCGGCUAACUACGUG
rnacentral:rRNA from 1 species